ACCACCGUCUCACGCUGCCACUC
rnacentral:siRNA from 1 species